AUGCUCUCUCAGCUCUUUCGUUCCUUUCAUAGUUUCAUUCGUUCACUCAAAAAAAAGAAAAAGUGAAAACCCUAGCUAGCCUCCACUGCCGUCGAACGGAGUGACCCACUGCCGCCGUCCGUGACUGUCCGAGGAGUCUCUUUUUGUCCUGUCGGUGUUAUCCAAGUCAAAUCCCCUGUUCGCUCUCUUCUUCCUCGCCGGCGCCCAUCCUCCAUCGUCUUCGUCCUGCUCGUGGUCGUCUUGUUGCCGUCGUCUCAUCGCGCUGAACUGCUGUCUGUCGUCUUGCUCUCCGCUGUGCUCAACCCCUCUCGAAGAGAAAAGCUGCUUUCUUUUCUAGGAAAGUUGCUCAGUUAUAUCUUCAGCAAGAAAAUCAACUGGCUGCAAUUAGUGCUAUGCAAGUUUUGGCAAUGACAACAAAGGCUUAUCAUGUUCAAAGUAGACCCUCAAUACCAGAUCAUUCUCAGAAAAAAUUGCCUUAAUACGAAGAAAUUUUCUGCCUUGAAGUUUCAAGCACAGCCUAAAGAGAAUGCAAUGAAAAACAGCUCUCUUCAGAUUGCUGUUCAUGAACAAGAGAAGGCUAAUAAAAAUCUUUUGAGACUGGCUGCAAAUCAGGAGCGACAAAAAGAAGAACUCCAUGCUAAAAUUGUCCAGCUUGGAAACAAUUGGAUAUGAAACAAAAAUUGGAGUUGGAGAUUCACCAACUAAAAGGAAAAUUAAAUGUCAUGAAGCACAUGGAAGAUGAUGGAGAUUCUAAAGUUUUGAAUGUGAUGGAUAUUUUAUAUAACGAAUUAAGAGAUAAGGAACAGUCACUUCGAGAGAUAGGGACAUUGAACCAAGCACUAAUUGUUAAAGAGCGUAAGAGCAACGAUGAGCUGCAGGAUGCUCGAAAAGUAUUGAUUAGUGGAGUUAAAGACGUGUACUCGUGGCAAUAUUGGUGUGAGGAGAAUGGGGGAACUUGAUAUUAGACCGUUCGUUGAAUUUAUGAGGGAAAAGAUAUAAUGAUGAGGAAGCAGAAGAGAGAGCUUUAGAACUGUGUUCAUUGUGGGAAGAGUAUCUUAAGGACCCAGACUGGCAUCCCUUUAAAAUCAGCACAAGUGAUGGGAAACAUCAGGUGCGCCUUUGCUAAUCUUAUAGAUCUAUUGAAAUAUUUUUUUUCUUGAUAUCGCUCUUCAGUCUUAAUAGAAUAUUUUAUCUUUCUUUUACAGUUUUGCUAAAGGGAAUUUGUUAAGGUGUUUAAUGUAAAAAUAACUUAUUAUAAAAACUAAAACUUUGUAGUUUCCAAUGCUUUUAUAGUGUAUUUAUUGAAGAACUUUUUUUAAAGAUUUAUACUCUAUGUAACCCA